UGCCUGAGCUGGCCUUGAACUUGGAAUCCUCUUGCCUUAACCUCCCUAAUAGCUGGAAUUACAGGCAUGCCUGGCUUAGACAUUAGAUUUUAAUCAUAGCCCAAUUAUAGGUGAAUUCUGUUCUUUUUGCAAGUUAUUCACUUUCUCUGUGCCUCAUUUUUAGAUUUGUAAAGUAGAGGUAAAAAUACCUACCUUCCCCUUGCAUGCACAAGGUCCUGGGUUCAAACCUCCAGCACCCACCCCCCCACAAAAAAAGAAAGAAAAAUUACCUACCUUCCAGAAUCACUGUGAGGUUUAUAUAGGGUUAAGUUUCAAGUUCUGAAGUCAGACUACUUGUCUUCAACUCUCCCCUCUCAUCCACUAGGCAGGCAAUUUUACACAAAUUAUUCACACUGCCUCAGUUUACUUGCAUGUAAAAUGGCAUAAUAAUAAGUACUUCAGUUCAAUAGAUUUUGUUUAGUUUCUCAAGGCACAUAUGAGUAAAGUACUUAAUACCUGAUCCAUAGUAAGGUUGCAAUAAAUGUUAAUUAGUAUUGUGCUAGGUGCUGGGUUUCAUCCCCAGUACCAUAAAAAAAUUAUAUUAAUUUAAAAAACCCACUAAGUACAUAAUCUUUGAACCACUUUUCUUACUCUGUUCAUUUGGAUAUUCCAACCUAAGCCUGCCAUGUUCUCCCGAACUCCAAUCUUCCUUCCUCUUUCUCUUACAAAGUGGCACUCCCAUCUGCCUCUUUUUCCAAACCUGAAGUAAGGGCACUGUCCUCAAAAUCUCCUUUCAUUCUGCAUGUCUACAUACCACUUAAAUACCUCUCCUUCAACUCUUACCACAUUGGUUCUUUGUAUUAUACUUCUUGCGGGUCACCAUUGUCUUCAUUUGUGUGACAACUUUCAACCUGUUCUCCAGUUCUAUACCUAAUUCUGUCUCCUCCAGUGUAUUUUUCUAAUACAGGUGGUAGUGAUCUUUCUCAAAUACAAAGAUGACUGGAGGAAGAGAGAGAGAAAGGUAUUACAGGGAAGGAAUUGGACGGGAAUCACAACAGACUUCUCUUCAACGACGCUGGAAGAAGACAUUGCAAAACAGUGAAAUACCUAAAGUUUUCAAGGACAAAAGCUUUGAUGCCUGCCAAGCCAUCAUUCAGGACCACUGUUCCACCACCUCCUGUUCCAAGGAGCACAUUGUGGGAAAUGUUGCUCUGUGGAGUUCCACAGCGAGGAGUAAAGAAGGGCUCUUUCUGCCCCUGCUAGCCUGCCGCAGCACUGACCAUCUUGAAGCUCUGAUGACUUGACCAUCUGAAGAGCUACAAACUGGCAGCAAGGAGGUAUCCGGUGAGCAGAUAAGCCCUUCUGCCCUCCUGCAAGGAGAACCUGUGCACCAACCAGCGCCGCAGCCCCGGCCUUCCUGGCCCACCUUACCCAGGGCCCUGCCGCAGCCCUGGUCUUCCAGGCCCACCUUAGUCAGGUGUGCAGCGUGCGCUUUCCUGGAGGGCUGUUGCUCUUGCUCAUGGCUCAGUGUGUCUGACUGUAAAUAUUUCUGAAACGUGAGCUUCUACACUGGAAAUGUAGGCCUCCUUGCCACAGAACAGCCGAGAUUUCAUUACAGACAGAACUGACUAGGGAGACCUGACCUUGAGACUCCAGAUAAGCCAGAAGAGAUGGUGUUUGUCUGCGGUCCUAACUACUUGGAGGCUGAAGUGGGAAGACUGAGUCCAGGAGUUCAAGACCAACCUGGGCAAAUAAUGAGACGCCCAUCUCUAGAAAGGAAAGAGGCAAGGAGGGAAGGAAGGAAGGACAGACCUCCCAAAUAACUUCUCAGCAGCAUCCCAUCAGUGGUCUUCUUACUCUGGAAUUCUAAUCCCUCCGUGGUGGACUUAUGUGCUAAUGGAGAGCUAGAACAAACAGCCUGGAAGGGACAUGCCACUUGACAGCUGCUACUCCUACGGUCACUAUUUUCCCAACCAUCCUACCAGCCAGGUAUCAUUGAACAGUUGAAGAAAAGAAGGUUCAUGGAAAUUAACUUAUCAAAGGCUACAAAGUUAGUAACAAAGCAAGGACGUGAACUUUGGCUUCGCCGCUAGAGCUUGUCCGUCUUUGCACUCCUUCUUUGCACUCCCUCAGUGGUUCACAAACUUCGGUGGGCCGGGCUGGAACGCUUUGCCCCACCCCCAGGUGUCCCGACUCACCACUUCCGGGGAGGAGCCCAAGCGCUGGCGUUUCCAGCGCAGCCGCUCUUGCUGCUGGUCUGACACGGCACGACAGUGUGCUGCCUACUAGCAUCCGACAACGGGGCUGAUGUAGGUCACAGAGCUGGGUGUUGAAAUAGCUCGAGCAUCAUCCUAUGGCCAUCUUUCAGCAGAGUGCUUAUGGCCUGUCAGAGCAACAGCUGAUGGAUUGAAGGUAGAAAGAAGCUAGAGAGGCCGUACUGAGAACUCAGGACUGAAGUCUGAUAGCAUCUGUUCUGGUUGGGGAAGAGAAAGCAAAUAGAGAACUCGUCACCUGCUGGGGCAUCUCUGCGGGUGCAGCCUGCAGUGUUCCUUGUUUGGUCCCUAACUAGGGCUACGUAAGGGGAGGAGACGGGCACACGAGGACUGUCAGCCGCAGCGCCUCAGUUACUGUUCUUGGCUGCAGCCGAGCGGCACUCGCAUGCCGACUCAGCUCGAAUGUUAGCUGGACCAGGACUCGAUCUGAACAA